rnacentral:tRNA from 4 species
GGGCCUGUAGCUCAGUUGGUUAGAGCACUUCUCUGAUAAGGAAGGGG